GCCUGGGUUGCUCAGUCAGUUGAGCAUCUGACUUCAGCUCAGGUCAUGAUCUCAGAGUUUGUGGGAUCGAGCCCCGCAUCAGGCU
rnacentral:tRNA from 1 species